AGUACGUGAAACUGCUUAGAGGUUAAGCCCGAUGAACCUGAAUAUCCAUUAUGGAAAAUUCAUCACUAAUACUAUUGAUAUUUAAAAAUAUAUUAUAGAAAUAGUGUGCAAUUUUUCCAUAUAAGGACAUUGUAAUCUGUUAAUGUAUUAAACAUUUAUUAAAAGAUCUUAUACUUUAGUUUAUUCAAAUUAGUUAUUUUCGAAUUUCUAACAUAGAAUAAAUGUAUUUGAUUUAAUAAAUCAUUGACAGAUUUAAUUAUAAUAUAGUGCUUAAAUUUUUAACGAAAUUUUACAAUAGUAUGACAAUUCAAUUUGAUUAUAUUUAUUGUAUGCGCUUAUAUGAUUAACAAUGCGAUAGAUUCAGGAUACCUUCGGGACCCGUCUUGAAACACGGACCAAGGAGUCUAACAUAUGUGCAAGUCAUUGGGUAUUUUUAAUAAAACCCAAUGGCAUAAUUAACUUAACUGUUUUAUAUUUUUUUAUAAAAUAUGGGAUUAGUUUAUAUUUUAUUAUGAAAUAUUAAUUCAAUCCCGGGGCGUUCUAUAUAGUUAUGUAUAAUGAUAUUUAUAUUAUUUAUGCCUCUAACU
rnacentral:rRNA from 1 species